rnacentral:rRNA from 1 species
CAACGACUCUCGGCAACGGAUAUCUCGCGUCUCGCAUCGAUGAAGAACGUAGCGAAAUGCGAUACUUGGUGUGAAUUGCAGAAUCCCGCGAAUCAUCGAGUCUUUGAACGCAAGUUGCGCCCGAAGCCAUCUGGUCGAGGGCACGUCUGCCUGGGUGUCACGC